UAAUACUGGAUAGGCAAUUAUUCCUGUAAUGGUUUUUUGUUUAAAUGUUUUUUCGCCUAAGGAUGGGUCUGCGGCCGAUUAGGUAGUUGGUUAGGUAAUGGCUUACCAAGCCUUUGAUCGGUACGGGUUGUGAGAGCAAGAGCCCGGAGAUGGAACCUGAGACAAGGUUCCAGGCCCUACGGGGUGCAGCAGGCGCGAAACCUCCGCAAUGUGAGAAAUCGCGACGGGGGGAUCCCAAGUGCCAUUCUUAACGGGAUGGCUUUUCAUUAGUGUAAAGAGCUUUUGGAAUAAGAGCUGGGCAAGACCGGUGCCAGCCGCCGCGGUAACACCGGCAGCUCUAGUGGUAGCAGUUUUUAUUGGGCCUAAAGCGUCCGUAGCCGGUUUAAUAAGUCUCUGGUGAAAUCCUGCAGCUUAACUGUGGGAAUUGCUGGAGAUACUAUUAGACUUGAGAUCGGGAGAGGUUAGAGGUACUCCCAGGGUAGAGGUGAAAUUCUGUAAUCCUGGGAGGACCGCCUGUUGCGAAGGCGUCUAACCGGAACGAUUCUGACGGUGAGGGACGAAAGCUAGGGGCGCGAACCGGAUUAGAUACCCGGGUAGUCCUAGCUGUAAACGAUGCGGACUUGGUGUUG
rnacentral:rRNA from 1 species